rnacentral:rRNA from 1 species
UACGGGGGGAGCAAGCGUUGUUCGGAUUUACUGGGCGUAAAGGGCGCGUAGGCGGUCGUGACAAGUCACUUGUGAAAUCUCCGGGCUUAACUCGGAACGGUCAAGUGAUACUGUCGGACUAGAGUACAGAAGGGGCAACUGGAAUUCUCGGUGUAGCGGUGAAAUGCGUAGAUAUCGAGAGGAACACCAGUGGCGAAGGCGGGUUGCUGGGCUGAUACUGACGCUGAGGCGCGAAAGCCAGGGGAGCGAACGGG